CCAAGCCAUAGCAAGUGAGAAGCUAUCCGGCUUAAUUCUAACAUAAUUACCCUAAUAUAGCUGGCUCUUUGUGGUAUUUGAAUAUUCUCCAAGAAUUCUGGUGCAUUUACUGUUAUUGCUUCUGUAAACAUAGUAGCUAAAUAAUCCCACCUUGUUACAUAAGGUAAGUAUUGUAUAAUAGUUCGGUUUUCCGCGAUUUUUUCCAUUCCUCUGUGUAAAUAGCCUAAUAUGGGUUCACAAUCAAUAACAUCCUCACCAUCGAGAGUAACGAUCAGUCGAAGAACACCAUGCAUUGAUGGGUGUUGAGGGCCCAUAUUGACUAUCAUGAGAUCUUUUCUUGUAAGCGGUAGACUCAUAUCCUUUCUUCCUUAAUUCAUUAUUCCAUGAAAAUGGAUUAUUCCAUGGAUUCCUCAAAGCGAGGCUCAUCAAAAUGAAAAAUCUAAGACUACUAUAAGACUACUAAAAAAAUAAUAAAACAAGAAAAAAAUUUGAACGAUUAAAUUACUGCUCCCGAAUAUUCAACUGACCGAUUAAUUUCUUAUAACGUACUCUAUUUUUCUUUGCCAAAUAAGCCAGCAAACGUCGACGUUUUCCCAAAAGUCUUCGUAGACCUCUUUCCGAUGAAAAAUCUUUUUUGUGUAAUUCCAAAUGUGAAGCAAGUCUCCGUAUCUUAUUGGUGAAACUGAAUACUUGAAAUUCAACAGAACCCCUGUUUUCUUCUUUUUCUUCUUUAACCAUAAA